CUGAGAGAGCGUAUCGCAGAGUAUCUCAGAAAGCAUCCAUCCAUCGGCAUCCAUCGGUUUUUGGGAUGCUGAGCGAGAGCUUCUGCUUUGGCAGCGCGCACUUGGCCAAAAUAGUUGUUGGUUCGCAUGCAAAACGUUAAAAUCGCAUUAGCUGAAAAACAUUUUUAUACCAACGGCGCGUUUUUAAUUUUUUCUACACUACAACAACACGAAAAAUAUAUAAAAUAAACUAGACAAAGUAGAUGGCGAAAAGUAAAACCAAAUACCAAAAAAUAACAAACAAAAACAACAACGAGUAAAACUAAACUUUUAACGUUCAACAAAUUCAUUGCGCAUACAUAAGUAUAAAUAAAUAAACGCGUGUAUAUAGAGAAAUACAUAUAAUAAAUGAUAAUUCAAUAAUUUUCAAACAACAAAAGUAAGAUGCUUAGAUGUAAUCGCAAAAAAAGUGUGUCAAGCCGUCCUCUUUACAAAGAAUCAACCCUAAACUAAAGUAAACUACGACUUUUUAAAGUUAUAAACCUUGAAAAGGACUAACAAAUCGCUGGUAGAAUAGCUGAACAAGGCGUGACUUGUGUGUGAGUGUACAUAACGAAGGAAAGUACGAGUAUGUGAGACCUGGGCGCAAGAAUGGCCGCCCACUUGCCUCUGGCCCACCUUUUGUGACCGUGCGUGUGAAAUAAAAGAGAAAAGUUAAAAGUAAAAAGUAAAAAAAAUACGGAAACGUAAAAAGAAAACGAACGCAACUACUACAAUCAGCGGCAAUGGAAUAGCGAUUCAAUGUCACAGUCAGUGAGCAGCAUCUAUGUGCACAGCAUCAGAUACAGAUACCCUUAUACAUAUACCCACUCUCACACGCACACCCACACAUGUGUGAACCGCUCACGUAUGUAGAGAAAAGCCAUAGCCGCAGAUUAGCGAGCCAGUUUUGAGGGGCCGACAUCGAAGAAAGGCGAAGACGACGACGACGACGACGACGACGACGACAAUCAACAUUCAUCAUACGCACCGUGGGACGCGGCGCAAAACGCAAAUGCAGCCCCUGAUCGAUCGAUUUUUGAUUUUGUAUCCCCAUCAUCACCACCACCACUAC